UACGGAGGGUGCAAGCGUUAUCCGGAUUCACUGGGUUUAAAGGGUGCGUAGGUGGGCAGGUAAGUCCGUGGUGAAAUCUCUGAGCUUAACUCAGAAACUGCCAUGGAUACUAUUUGUCUUGAAUAUUGUGGAGGUAAGCGGAAUAUGUCAUGUAGCGGUGAAAUGCUUAGAUAUGACAUAGAACACCAAUUGCGAAGGCAGCUUACUACACAAUCAUUGACGCUGAGGCACGAAAGCGUGGGGAUCAAACAGG
rnacentral:rRNA from 1 species